rnacentral:rRNA from 1 species
AUUGAACGCUGGCGGCAGGCCUAACACAUGCAAGUCGAACGGUAGCACAGAGAGCUUGCUCUCGGGUGACGAGUGGCGGACGGGUGAGUAACGUCUGGGAAACUGCCCGAUGGAGGGGGAUAACUACUGGAAACGGUAGCUAAUACCGCAUAACGUCGCAAGACCAAAGUGGGGGACCUUCGGGCCUCACACCAUCGGAUGUGCCCAGAUGGGAUUAGCUAGUAGGUGGGGUAAUGGCUCACCUAGGCGACGAUCCCUAGCUGGUCUGAGAGGAUGACCAGGCACACUGGAACUGAGACGCGGUCCAGACUCCUACGGGAGGCAGCGGUGGGGAAUAUUGCACAAUGGGCGCAAGCCUGAUGCAGCCAUGCCGCGGGUAUGAAGAAGGCCUUCGGGUUGUAAAGUACUUUCAGCGGGGAGGAAGGCGGUGAAGUUAAUAGCUUCACCGAUUGACGUUACCCGCAGAAGAAGCACCGGCUAACUCCGUGCCAGCCGCCGCCGUAA